GCUGCAACUCGCCUGCAUGAAGUUGGAAUUGCUAGUAAUCGCGGAUCAGCAUGCCGCGGUGAAUACGUUCCCGGGCCUUGUACACACCGCCCGUCACACCAUGGGAGCCGGUAAUACCCGAAGUCAGUAGUCCAACCUCGUGAGGACGCUGCCGAAGGUAGGAUUGGCGACUGGGGUGAAGUCGUAACAAGGUAGC
rnacentral:rRNA from 1 species